rnacentral:rRNA from 1 species
AGUGAACGCUGGCGGUAGGCCUAACACAUGCAAGUCGAACGGCAGCACAGUAAGAGCUUGCUCUUACGGGUGGCGAGUGGCGGAUGGGUGAGGAAUACAUCGGAAUCUACUUUUUCUUGGGGGAUAACGUAGGGAAACUUACGCUAAUACCGCAUACGACCUACGGGUGAAAGCAGUGGAUCUUCGGACCUUUCGCGAUUCAAUUAGCCGAUGUCGGAUUAGCUAGUUGGCGGGGUAAAGGCCCACCAAGGCGACGAUCCGUAGCUGGUCUGAGAGGAUGAUCAGCCACACUGGAACUGAGACACGGUCCAGACUCCUACGGGAGGCAGCAGUAGGGAAUAUUGGACAAUGGGCGCAAGCCUGAUCCAGCCAUACCGCGUGAGUGAUGAAGGCCUUCGGGUUGUAAAGCCCUUUUAUUAGGAAAGAAAAGCAGCAGGUUAAUCCCCCGCUGUUCUGACGGUACCCAAAGAAUAAGCACCGGCUAACUUCGUG